GGCAUGACUACAUGCUUCAGUGCGUGGAGAAGGUUCACAAGUUCCAAAACAAAUCAAGCAACACCGUCAGAGACUUUCACAGUGGAAGGUUGCUCAUGCCUUGGAUUUCUUCUUCAAUCCUCUAUUUCAUCAGGUCAGCUCAUAUGGAACCAAAGAAAUGAAACUGAAUAGUGGAGAAAAGAUUUUAAUACCAGAAGUGGUUCGAACUGUUUGCCACGCCAACUUGGUCCAUAUGUACGAAGCCUUCUGUGAAGAAUCAGAUGUUGAUCCACUAUCCAGAUCAUCUCUUUUUGAAAUUUUGAGGGUUUGUCCAGCUUCCAAAAGAACGAGUUUGAGAGGCCUAGACAAUAUUGCCACUGAUGGAUCCACAGCAUUUGAUACUCUAGACGAAGUCAAAAAGCAGCUUAAACUUUACUUAACUGACCCUGAAGUACAAGAUGAUUUAGAGAAGACUGAGCAAGAUCUCCAUUUAUUUAAACUAUAUAUAAAAACUGACUUCAAACUGCAUACAUCACUUGCUGACCAAUGCCCUGACCACUGCAUUAUGUUCGCAUUGUCUGAUCCUAAAGAUCAGACACUUCAAAAGAAAUGUACCCACAGCCAUAACAUGGUUUGUGAUAGAUGUGAGCUCUUCUCCAGAUCUAUAAUCAACCUCAAAAGAGUUACAUCUGAAG